rnacentral:RNase_P_RNA from 1 species
AUGUUUGAGUAAUCGCUGCAUCUCUUUUGAUGUAGAGGAAAGUCCAUGCUCACACAAGCUGAGAUGCUUGUAGUGUUCGUGCUUGACGAAUUCAUAAGUCAAGGUAACCUUUGGGUUAACGGCAGGGAAAAUACCUAAGUCUUAUAGAUAUGGUAUUACGACCUUGAAAGUGCCACAGUGACGUAGUCAAGUAGGAAACUGCUUGAAUGGAACGAGGUAAACCCCACGAGUGAGCAACCCAAAUAUUGGUAGGGGCAUCCUGGAUUAGGGAAUUCAACCAAAACAGGGACAAGCAUCGUCUUGUAGAUAGAUGAUUACUACUUGCGUACGAGGCUGACCACCGUUUGCAGUGCAAUAGUACAGAACAUGGCUUACAAAA